GGUCAUACUAGACGAACUUAUAGUGGAUAAAGCACCAUCCACUCCAUGCAGCAGAGCAGGAAGGCAUCAUGAAAACACAGAAGAGUCAAACAUUGUUACAGAAAACAAUGUUCAAGAUGUUCCAACAAGAUUUCUGAAUGGCCAUGGAUACAUUAUUACAAAUACUAUAAAGAAGGAAAAUGGAUGGAUGGACAGACACUGUAUACUGUUGCUGCCACGGAUGUUCUCAGAACUGUGGACCCGCCUGAUAUUAAAAUAGAAGGCCAUCACCUGUUCUACAUAUUCAGUGGUAGGUACUUGACUGAUAGUCAUUGACAAGGCUUCUGACUUUUGACAAGCACAGAAAUAUGUUGAGGGGAUAAACUAGUUUUGUCUAUAUGUUCACAAAAUCAUUGAUUAAUCAGUAGAGUAGCA